GCAUUAUUUGCAGAUGCAGUUGUAUUCACAGUUGUAUUGGUCAUCAUGUCUUCACUUUCUGGUUUUCUUUGGCCUCAUUGUAGUUGGAGGUGCCAACAUAUGAUUGGGAAGGCAUGGCAUGGUGAUCUGGUUUUUCACAAGCAUGUCUUGAUCCCUUUAAGUCUCUGUGUUUCUGCUUGUAUCCGCUUGCUCGACAAAUAGUAAGCCUUGAUAUGGACCAAAUGAUGAGGCUGCUUCAUUACUGUGGAUUACCAGUAGACGAUGUUGACUUUAUCAACUCUGAUGGGAAGACAAUGAACAAACUAUUAUUGAAGUGGUCGACUACUUACAGACUUUGCAGUAGAUUCCGACUAGUUUCUUGAUUUUGAGUAAGGCUUGUGAUUGUUUACCUUUUUGUAGUAGAUGAAGUGACUGCAGCAAUUGUGAACAAAACCGCAAUAGUAAUUGCUAGGCUAGCCUAGCUUGUAGUAGGUUAAUUGGGGUUUUAUUUUGCCUAUUUU